UGGGGAAUAUUGCACAAUGGGCGAAAGCCUGAUGCAGCAACGCCGCGUGAGUGAUGAAGGUCUUCGGAUUGUAAAGCUCUGUCUUUUGGGACGAUAAUGACGGUACCAAAGGAGGAAGCCACGGCUAACUACGUGCCAGCAGCCGCGGUAAUACGUAGGUGGCGAGCGUUGUCCGGAUUUACUGGGCGUAAAGGGUGCGUAGGCGGAUGUUUAAGUGAGAUGUGAAAUACCCGGGCUUAACUUGGGUGCUGCAUUUCAAACUGGAUAUCUAGAGUGCAGGAGAGGAGAAUGGAAUUCCUAGUGUAGCGGUGAAAUGCGUAGAGAUUAGGAAGAACACCAGUGGCGAAGGCGAUUCUCUGGACUGUAACUGACGCUGAGGCACGAAAGCGUGGGUAGCAAACAGGAUUAGAUACCCUGGUAGUCCACGCCGUAAACGAUGAGUACUAGGUGUAGGAGGUAUCGACCCCUUCUGUGCCGCAGUAAACACAUUAAGUACUCCGCCUGGGAAGUACGAUCGC
rnacentral:rRNA from 1 species